AUUGAACGCUGGCGGCAUGCUUUACACAUGCAAGUCGAACGGUAACAGGGUGCUUGCACCGCUGACGAGUGGCGAACGGGUGAGUAAUGCGUCGGAACGUGCCGAGUAGUGGGGGAUAACGCAGCGAAAGUUGUGCUAAUACCGCAUACGUACUGAGGUAGAAAGUGGGGGACCUUCGGGCCUCACGCUAUUCGAGCGGCCGACGUCUGAUUAGCUAGUAGGUGAGGUAAAGGCUCACCUAGGCGACGAUCAGUAGCGGGUCUGAGAGGAUGGUGCGCCAGACUGGGACAGAGACACGGCCGAGGAGCCUACGGGAGGCAGCAGGGGGGAAUUUUGGACAAUGGGCGAAGGCCUGAUCCAGCCAUGCCGCGUGUCUGAAGAAGGCCUUCGGGUUGUAAAGGACUUUUGUCGGGGAGGAAAUCCCCAGCGUUAAUACCGCUGGGGGAUGACAGUACCUGAAGAAUAAGCACCGGCUAACUACGUGCCAGCCGCCGCCGUAAAAC
rnacentral:rRNA from 1 species